GCAAAAUAUUUAUAAUAUCUUCGUAUAACCCCAAUAAUAUGGUUUGGGGGUCUCUACCAGGAAUCCAAAAUUCCUGAUUACGAAGAAGAUACCUUAUGGG
rnacentral:ncRNA from 2 species